CUGGCUCAAGAGGCGUCUCAUCUACUACACCCAGACCAGGUGAAACUCACCAGAGAAGAGCCUUUGGAUGGGACUUCCGGGUGCCUUAGGGGUGGGCAUGUUUUGUGUGGAAGGAAAAUGCACAGCAUGCGGGAUCUUAGUUCCUCGACCAGGAAUCGAACCUGUGCCACCUGCAGUGGAAGCGUGGAGUCCUAACCACUGGACCACCAAAUGGUUCCUGUUCUCUGGUGAGGACCCUGCAGACCCGCCGUCUCCAGUCAGGGAGCCUUCCCAGAACUUCGCACAGCAAAUUGGCGGGCGUCUCACCUCCGGAGGCCCCUUGGCCCCUUGGUGGACUCCUCCCU